rnacentral:rRNA from 1 species
CAGGAUGUGCCCGCGGCCUAUCAGCUUGUUGGUGGGGGUAAUGGCUACCAAGGCGACGACGGGUAGGCCGGGCCGUCGAGAGGGGUGGAUCGGCCACACUGGGACUGAGACACGGCCCAGACUCCUACGGGAGGCAGCAGUGGGGAAUAUUGCACAAUGGGCGCAAGCCUGAUGCAGCGACGCCGCGUGGGGGAUGACGGUCUUCGGAUUGUAAACCCCUUUCAGUAGGGACGAAGCGCAAGUGACGGUACCUGCAGAAGAAGCACCGGCCAACUACGUGC